rnacentral:rRNA from 1 species
GACAGAGGGUGCAAACGUUGCUCGGAAUCACUGGGCGUAAAGGGCGUGUAGGCGGGAAGGAAAGUCAGAUGUGAAAUCCCUGGGCUCAACCCAGGAACUGCAUUUGAAACUCCCUUUCUUGAGUACCGGAGAGGAAGGUGGAAUACCUGGUGUAGAGGUGAAAUUCGUAGAUAUCAGGUGGAACACCGGUGGCGAAGGCGGCCUUCUGGACGGUAACUGACGCUGAGACGCGAAAGCGUGGGGAGCAAACAGG